GGGCUAUGCACUUUUAUGGUGCUUACCUCCUAAAAUAGAUAAUUAGUCAUAUGGACCUCCUAUGCAUUUCAGAGGCUGGAUAUUAUUUUUAGUAAGUCUGCAUUUUUACUUUGGUAACUUAAUAGUUUAAAAUACAUUUGGUGGCAUUCCAUUUGAAGCUAAUGAAAACAUGGCAAAUUAAGUGCAGUACUGUGAUCCUAGGGCAAAUUCACUCGA
rnacentral:lncRNA from 1 species